rnacentral:rRNA from 1 species
AGUGAACGCUGGCGGUAGGCCUAACACAUGCAAGUCGAACGGCAGCACAGUAAGAGCUUGCUCUUACGGGUGGCGAGUGGCGGACGGGUGAGGAAUACAUCGGAAUCUACUUUUUCGUGGGGGAUAACGUAGGGAAACUUACGCUAAUACAGCAUACGCCCUACGGGUGAAAGCAGGGGAUCUUAGGACCUUGCGCGAUUGAAUGAGCCGAUGGCGGAUUAGCUAGUUGGCGGGGUAAAGGCCCACCAAGGCGACGAUCCGUAGCUAAACUGAGAGGAUGAUCAGCCACAAUCGAUCUGAGACAGCGUCCAUACUCCUACGAGAGGCAUCAGUGGGGCAUAUUAGACAAUGGGCGGAAACCUGAUCCAGCCAUACCGCGUCGUAGAAGACAGCCUCCGGGGUGUAAUGCCCUUUUGUUGGGAAAGAAAAGCAGCAGGUUAAUACCCCGCUGUUCUGACGGUACCGAAAGAAUAAGCACCGGCUAACUUCGUG